GUUAAAGUUAUUUAAUAUUAGUUCUUGUUGCAGUUGUGUUACACAGAUAUACACGGAUACUUUAAAGAAGCGUAGAACACCUAAGACCAAGUCACGACAAAAAAUUAAUAUAGAAGAAGUAUAUAGAAAUGCAUGGCAGCCACAAUUGAUGUGAUAAAAUUAAAAUGAUGAAUGUACUUUCAGGCAAAUGCCCAUGUACCAAUGGGUACGAGGCUCAUCUGUUGAUAAGUGAUACCACCGCCCAUGGAUAUUCUCAGAGGGCUCGAGAAUGCGUGGACGACCUUUUAAGAAUUGAAAAAGUUAUAGAGUUAUGGUAAGCUUGCUGUUGACUUGACAUUAUGUAUUUUUUUAAAUUAUACCUUUAUUAUAGACAUGACUGUACUUCUGUAAUUUUCUGGGAUGGACCAGCAAG